rnacentral:rRNA from 1 species
GCAACGMGAAGAACCUYACCUGGUCUUGACAUAUCUAGAAUCCUGCAGAGAUGCGGGAGUGCUUCGGGAAUUAGAAUACAGGUGCUGCAUGGCUGUCGUCAGCUCGUGUCGUGAGAUGUUGGGUUAAGUCCCGCAACGAGCGCAACCCUUGUCCUUAGUUACCAGCGGGUUAAGCCGGGAACUCUAAGGAUACUGCCAGUGACAAACUGGAGGAAGGCGGGGACGACGUCAAGUCAUCAUGGCCCUUACGACCAGGGCUACACACGUGCUACAAUGGUAGGUACAGAGGGCAGCUACACAGCGAUGUGAUGCGAAUCUCAAAAAGCCUAUCGUAGUCCAGAUUGGAGUCUGCAACUCGACUCCAUGAAGUAGGAAUCGCUAGUAAUCGCGGAUCAGAAUGCCGCGGUGAAUACGUUCCCGGGCCUUGUACACACCGCCCGUCACACCAUGGGAGUUGAUUGCACCAGAAGUGGAUAGCCUAA